AGGAAUGGACCCCUUUAAUAAAGCACAAACAGAGCAACUUAUUCUCAAAUUGGCAGAAAUUAGGGAAAGUGUUCUAAAAAAAUGUGAUACGCCAACUUCAACCGAAGAAACAUUUUUAAAUGAAAGUAUAACGAAUGUACAUACAUACUUAAAUAUACUUUCCGAGAGGGAUGUAAUUGAAUAUGACAAAGACACUUUGGGAAUUAUUCAGCGAUUGAAGCAAAAUCUCAAAUUUUUAUCGGAAAACAG